CGUAGGUGGCAAGCGUUGUCCGGAUUUAUUGGGUUUAAAGGGUGCGUAGGCGGUUCUGUAAGUCAGUGGUGAAAUCCGGCAGCUCAACUGUCGAUGUGCCAUUGAUACUGCAGAACUUGAGUACAGACGAGGUAGGCGGAAUCGACGGUGUAGCGGUGAAAUGCUUAGAUAUCGUCAAGAACACCGAUAGCGAAGGCAGCUUACUAGACUGUAACUGACGCUGAUGCACGAAAGUGUGGGGAUCAAACAGGAUUAGAUACCCUGGUAGUCCACACUGUAAACGAUGAUUACUCGAUGUUAGCGAUACACAGUUAGCGUCUUAGCGAAAGCGAUAAGUAAUCCGCCUGGGGAGUACGCCGGCAACGGUG
rnacentral:rRNA from 1 species